rnacentral:rRNA from 1 species
UACGAAGGGGGCUAGCGUUGCUCGGAAUCACUGGGCGUAAAGCGCACGUAGGCGGCUUUUUAAGUCAGGGGUGAAAUCCUGGAGCUCAACUCCAGAACUGCCUUUGAUACCGGGAAGCUUGAGUCCGGAAGAGGUGAGUGGAACUCCGAGUGUAGAGGUGAAAUUCGUAGAUAUUCGGAAGAACACCAGUGGCGAAGGCGGCUCACUGGUCCGGUACUGACGCUGAGGUGCGAAAGCGUGGGGAGCAAACAGG